GUCCGCGUAGCUCAGUUGGAUAGAGCGACUGCCUCCUAAGCAGUAGGUCGCGUGUUCAAAUCGCGCCGUGGACA
rnacentral:tRNA from 1 species